rnacentral:rRNA from 1 species
AUUGAACGCUGGCGGCAGGCCUAACACAUGCAAGUCGAACGGUAACAGGAAGCAGCUUGCUGCUUCGCUGACGAGUGGCGGACGGGUGAGUAAUGUCUGGGAAACUGCCUGAUGGAGGGGGAUAACUACUGGAAACGGUAGCUAAUACCGCAUAACGUCGCAAGACCAAAGAGGGGGACCUUAGGGCCUCUUGCCAUCGGAUGUGCCCAGAUGGGAUUAGCUAGUAGGUGGGGUAACGGCUCACCUAGGCGACGAUCCCUAGCUGGUCUGAGAGGAUGACCAGCCACACUGGAACUGAGACACGGUCCAGACGCCUAAGGGAGGCAGCAGUGGGGAAUAUUGCACAAUGGGCGCAAGCCUGAUGCAGCCAUGCCGCGUGUAUGAAGAAGGCCUUCGGGUUGUAAAGUACUUUCAGCGGGGAGGAAGGGAGUAAAGUUAAUACCUUUGCUCAUUGACGUUACCCGCAGAAGAAGCACCGGCUAACUCCGUG